UGGAGCAUGUGGUUUAAUUCGAUGGUACACGAGGAACCUUACCAGGGCUUGACAUGUGCAUGACAGUCCGUGAGAACGGGCGUCCCCGCAAGGGGCGUGCACACAGGUGCUGCAUGGCUGUCGUCAGCUCGUGUCGUGAGAUGUUGGGUUAAGUCCCGCAACGAGCGCAACCCUUACUGUCUGUUGCCAACGGGUGAGUGCCGGGGACUCAGACGGAACUGCCGGUGACAAACCGGAGGAAGGUGGGAUGACGUCAAGUCAUCAUGGCCCUUAUGUCCUGGGCUACACACGUGCUACAAUGGUCGGUACAAAGCGAGGCGAAACGGCGACGUGGAGCAAAUCGCAGAAAGCCGAUCUCAGUGCGGAUUGGAGUCUGAAACCCGACUCCAUGAAGUUGGAAUCGCUAGUAAUCGCGCAUCAGCAUGGCGCGGUGAAUACGUUCCCGGGCCUU
rnacentral:rRNA from 1 species